CCUACGGGCAGCAGUAGGGAAUUUUCGUCAAUGGGCGCAAGCCUGAACGAGCAAUGCCGCGUGAACGAGGAAGGUCUUCGGAUCGUAAAGUUCUGUUGAAGGGGAAAAAGAGCGGAGAGAGGAAAUGGUCUCCGAUUGAUAUUACCCUUCGAGGAAGUCACGGCUAACUACGUGCCAGCAGCCGCGGUAAUACGGAGGAUGCGAGCGUUAUCCGGAUUUAUUGGGUUUAAAGGGUGCGCAGGCGGACCAUCAAGUCAGCGGUAAAAUCGUGGGGCCCAACCCCAUCCCGCCGUUGAAACUGGCGG
rnacentral:rRNA from 1 species